ACUCGGGCCUUUGCUUCAUUGAACUUCUAUGCACAGUAUUCGUCGUGUCGCAUCGGUAGAAGCCCGUUUGGCUUUGUCCUGAGGUUAGAACUCGGGCCUUUGAUUCAUUGAACUUCUAUGCACAGUAUUCGUCGUGUCGCAUCGGUAGAAGCCCGUUUGGCUUUGUCCCGAGGUUAGAACUCGGGCCUUUCAUUUAUUGAACUUACUUGCGCAGUAUUUGUCGUGUCGCAUCGGUAGAAGCCCGUUUGGCUUUGUCUCGAGGUUAGAACUCGGGCCUUUGAUUCAUUGAACUUCUAUGCACAGUAUUCGUCGUGUCGCAUCGGUAGAAGCCCGUUUGGCUUUGUCCCGAGGUUAGAACUCGGGCCUUUCAUUUAUUGAACUUACUUGCGCAGUAUUUGUCGUGUCGCAUCGGUAGAAGCCCGUUUGGCUUUGUCUCGAGGUUAGAACUCGGGCCUUUCAUUUAUUGAACUUAUUUGCGCAGUAUUCGUCGUGUCGCAUCGGUAGAAGCCCGUUUGGCUUUGUCCCGAGGUUAGAACUCGGGCCUUUCAUUUAUUGAACUUAUUUGCGCAGUAUUUGUCGUGUCGCAUCGGUAGAAGCCCAUUUGGCUUUGUCCCGAGGUUAGAACUCGGGCCUUUGCUUCAUUGAACUUCUAUGCACAGUAUUCGUCGUGUCGCAUCGGUACAAGCCCGUUUGGCUUUGUCCCGUGGUUAGAACUCGGGCCUUUCAUUUAUUGAACUUAUUUGCGCAGUAUUCGUCGUGUCGCAUCGGUAGAAGCCUGUUUGCCUUUGUCCCGUGGUUAGAACUCGGGCCUUUCAUUUAUUGAACUUAUUUGCGCAGUAUUCGUCGUGUCGCAUCGGUAGAAGCCCGUUUGGCUUUGUCCUGAGGUUAGAUCUCGGGCCUCUGAUUCAUUGAACUUAUUUGCACAGAAUUCGUCUUGUCGCAUCCCUAGAAGCCCGCUUCGUUUUGUCCCGAGGUUAGAACUCGGGCCUUUGCUUCAUUGAACUUCUAUGCACAGUAUUCGUCGUGUCGCAUCGGUAGAAGCCAAUUUGGCUUUGUCCCGAGGUUAGAUCUCGGGCCUCUGAUUCAUUGAACUUAUUUGCACAGAAUUCGUCUUGUCGCAUCCCUAGAAGCCCGCUUCGUUUUGUCCCGAGGUUAGAACUCGGGCCUUUGCUUCAUUGAACUUCUAUGCACAGUAUUCGUCGUGUCGCAUCGGUAGAAGCCAAUUUGGCUUUGUCCCGAGGUUAGAUCUCGGGCCUCUGAUUCAUUGAACUUAUUUGCACAGAAUUCGUCUUGUCGCAUCCCUAGAAGCCCGCUUCGUUUUGUCCCGAGGUUAGAAGUCGGGCCUUUGCUUCAUUGAACUUCUAUGCACAGUAUUCGUCGUGUCGCAUCGGUAGAAGCCCGUUUGGCUUUGUCCCGACGUUAGAACUCGGGCCUUUGAUUCAUUGAACUUCUAUGCACAGUAUUCGUCGUGUCGAAUCGGUAGAAGCCAGUUUGGCUUUGUCCCGAGGUUAGAACUCGGGCCUCUGAUUCAUUGAAGUUAUUUGCACAGAAUUCGUCUUGUCGCAUCCCUAGAAGCCCUCUUCGUUUUGUCCCGAGGUUAGAAGUCGGGCCUUUGCUUCAUUGAACUUCUAUGCACAGUAUUCGUCGUGUCGCAUCGGUAGAAGCCCGUUUGGCUUUGUCCCGACGUUAGAACUCGGGCCUUUGAUUCAUUGAACUUCUAUGCACAGUAUUCGUCGUGUCGAAUCGGUAGAAGCCAGU